rnacentral:rRNA from 1 species
UACGUAGGGUGCAAGCGUUAAUCGGAAUUACUGGGCGUAAAGGGCGCGUAGGCGGCACGAUUAGUCAGGCGUGAAAUUCCUGGGCUCAACCUGGGGACUGCGCUUGAUACGGUCGAGCUAGAGGAUGGAAGAGGGUCGCGGAAUUCCCAGUGUAGAGGUGAAAUUCGUAGAUAUUGGGAAGAACACCGGUGGCGAAGGCGGCGACCUGGUCCAUUACUGACGCUGAGGCGCGACAGCGUGGGGAGCAAACAGG